AAACUAAAGAGUUUGAUCCUGGCUCAGAUUGAACGCUGGCGGCAUGCCUUACACAUGCAAGUCGAACGGCAGCACGGAGCUUGCUCUGGUGGCGAGUGGCGAACGGGUGAGUAAAAUAUCGGAACGUACCCAGGAGUGGGGGAUAACGUAGCGAAAGUUACGCUAAUACCGCAUACGUCCUAAG
rnacentral:ncRNA from 1 species